rnacentral:tRNA from 1 species
GCCUGGGUGGCGGAAUUGGUAGACGCAAGGGACUUAAAAUCCCUUAUCGCUAUGCGGUGUGCGAGUUCGAGUCUCGCCCCAGGCACCA